AUGGUCUUUCUUACUUUAAAACCUUACACAUACAUCAUAUUAUUUUUAUGCAGAAAUUACUUUUAUUAUGUUAGAAUAUUCCUUAAUGUUUUGGCAAUUAUUCAUGUGAAGGAGAGUUCAGAAAACAGAUUUAUGACUGUAUUAGCCUUGUCCUUGAUUAAAGCUUUACAACAGUUCGAAUGCUCUUUCUUGCAUGCAAUAGGUCAAAGGCUUAUUAAUUUGGUCAAAAGACAGACUGUGAGUCACAAAUUCAUCAACUUUUAUCUUUCUGGACAUAUAUUCAGACACCAACUUUGGGACACUUUCUACACUCUUCCAUCCUCCAAAGGCAGUGCCUUUCCAUACGCACCCUGUUACCAGCUGAAAUGGAUGAGUGGCGAUUUCUUCACCUGAAGCAGCUACUCAGCUAUGACGCUGACACCCCAGCCUUUGUGGCAGGCCUCUAGUGCUGCUCUUAUGACUUUCAAGUUACCAAUACACUCAAAGGAAUAGUCCACUCCCCCAUCAGUCAUUUCAAUGAGCACUUCCUGGAUGGGUUUACUGAAGUCCUGGGGGUUAACACAUUCAGAGGCUCCAAACUCCUUGGCCCUUGAGAAUUUAUCUUUAUUGAUGUCCACACCAAUGAUCUGGGAUGCACCAGCCACCUUACAGCCCAUGAUAGUCACCAAUCCAACUCCUCCUAGGCCAAAGACGGCACAAGUAGAGCCAGGCUCCACCUUGGCAGUGUUCAGAGCAGCACCAUAACCAGUUGAAAUGUCACAACCGAGAAGGCAGACUUUAUCCAAAGUUGCUAAAGGAUCUAUUUUAGCAACAGAGAUAUCAGCCACAACUGUCUAUUCAGAAAAUGUGCUGGUUCCCAUAUAAUGUAAAAUUGUCUUUCCUUUGCAAGUAAAUCUGCUAGUACCAUCUGGUAUUAAUCCUUUCCCCUGUGUAACUCUUAUCUUCUGGCAAAGGUUUGUUUUAGGAUUUAGACAAAAUUUGCAUUCUCCACACUGUGGGAUGUAAAGUGGGAUGACAGUGUCACCUGCCUUCAGCUUAGUAACUCCUUCGCCAACACUU
rnacentral:lncRNA from 12 species